GAGUUUGAUCAUGGCUCAGAACGAACGUUGGCGGGCGCCUAACACAUGCAAGUCGCACGAGAAAGGGCUUCGGCCCCGGUACAGUGGCGCACGGGUGAGUAACACGUAGAUAAUCUUCCCUCGAGUGGUGGAUAACUCUCCGAAAGGAGAGCUAAUACAGCAUGAGACCACGGCUUCGUUGAAGCUGCGGCCAAAGCAGGCCUCUACACGUAAGCUUGCGCUUGAGGAUGAGUCUGCGGCCCAUCAGCUAGUUGGUAGGGUAAUGGCCUACCAAGGCUAAGACGGGUAGCUGGUCUGAGAGGAUGAACAGCCACACUGGAACUGAGACACGGUCCAGACUCCUACGGGAGGCAGCAGUGGGGAAUCUUGCGCAAUGGGCGAAAGCCUGACGCAGCGACGCCGCGUGAGCGAUGAAGGCCUUCGGGUUGUAAAGCUCUGUGGGGAGGAAAGAAUAAGGUUUGGCUAAUAUCCAAACUGAUGACGGUACCUCCUUAGCAAGCACCGGCUAACUCUGUGCCAGCAGCCGCGGUAAGACAGAGGGUGCAAACGUUGUUCGGAAUUACUGGGCGUAAAGCGCGUGUAGGCGGCCCCGCAAGUCGGAUGUGAAAUCCCACGGCUCAACCGUGGAAGUGCAUU
rnacentral:rRNA from 1 species